AUUUCACGCACAAAACAAAAUCAAAUCAAAUAUAGGUGAGAAUUGUUUUAUAAAAUUUAUAUGGCUACACGUAAGUAAUACUACAUUGAAAUUGAAUAUAUGAAUCAUGAAAUAGGUUAUUUUGCCCACUCGUCUAAUCUCUUGGACUACUCUUAUUAUCAAAGUUACUGGUAGGUGUACUGGAGUUGAAACGACCAAUGUAUUCAUAUUCUAGUCAUUCCGUAUAAAUAUUAUUUGUCUAGUAGCUCACCAAAAUAUUCAU
rnacentral:lncRNA from 1 species